UGCAAGUCGACGGUGAAGAGAGCUUGCUCUCUGGAUCAGUGGCGAACGGGUGAGUAACACGUGAGCAACCUGCCCCGGACUCUGGGAUAACAGCUGGAAACAGCUGCUAAUACCGGAUACGAGCUGCGAAGGCAUCUUCAGCAGCUGGAAAGAAUUUCGGUCCGGGAUGGGCUCGCGGCCUAUCAGCUAGUUGGUGAGGUAAUGGCUCACCAAGGCGUCGACGGGUAGCCGGCCUGAGAGGGUGACCGGCCACACUGGGACUGAGACACGGCCCAGACUCCUACGGGAGGCAGCAGUGGGGAAUAUUGCACAAUGGGCGAAAGCCUGAUGCAGCAACGCCGCGUGAGGGAUGACGGCCUUCGGGUUGUAAACCUCUUUUAGCAGGGAAGAAGCGAAAGUGACGGUACCUGCAGAAAAAGCGCCGGCUAACUACGUGCCAGCAGCCGCGGUAAUACGUAGGGCGCAAGCGUUAUCCGGAAUUAUUGGGCGUAAAGAGCUCGUAGGCGGUUUGUCGCGUCUGCUGUGAAAACCCGAGGCUCAACCUCGGGCCUGCAGUGGGUACGGGCAGACUAGAGUGCGGUAGGGGAGAUUGGAAUUCCUGGUGUAGCGGUGGAAUGCGCAGAUAUCAGGAGGAACACCGAUGGCGAAGGCAGAUCUCUGGGCCGUAACUGACGCUGA
rnacentral:rRNA from 1 species